UCGGCUUUCAAUUUGAGCCUCCCCAUCUACUUUGGCUUUGGAAAUCCUCAAGUUUCUGACAAAAGUGCCAGAACCAUUUGCAGUUUCCUGUGAGAAAGCAAGCUCAUCGAAUAGCUCUUCUCUUUAAGUUGUGGCAGAACAUGUAACGCUGUUAAUUCUGGUCCAACCCGUUGACAAACUGCCAUGAGAGUCGUAGCAGCAACCUGAAGCACUGAAAUUUCCAANNNNNNCUGCAUAAGAACAGUAACAUGUAAACAACUUUUAUCUUCAAUCAGCUCCUUUACAACUAACUCCCUUGGCAAAAGUGCAACUAGACCAUCUAAUGUGUU
rnacentral:misc_RNA from 1 species